rnacentral:rRNA from 1 species
UACGUAGGGCGCGAGCGUUGUCCGGAAUUAUUGGGCGUAAAGAGCUCGUAGGCGGCCUGUUGCGUCCGCUGUGAAAGCCCGGGGCUUAACCCCGGGUCGGCAGUGGAUACGGGCAGGCUAGAGGUAGGUAGGGGAGAAUGGAAUUCCCGGUGUAGCGGUGAAAUGCGCAGAUAUCGGGAGGAACACCGGUGGCGAAGGCG